rfam:Flavobacterium psychrophilum JIP02/86 complete genome
AAAAUAUGGAGCCUAGAAGCCAUCAUAAAAACGAGGCGCAACUGAAAAGCCAAAUGAGUAAGAAAAAA